CCUACGGUGCGCUGCAGUGGGGAAUAUUGGACAAUGGGCGAAAGCCUGAUCCAGCCAUGCCGCGUGUGUGAAGAAGGCCUUCGGGUUGUAAAGCACUUUCAGUGGGGAAGAAAGCCUUGGGGCUAAUACCCUCGAGGAAGGACAUCACCCACAGAAGAAGCACCGGCUAACUCCGUGCCAGCAGCCGCGGUAAUACGGAGGGUGCGAGCGUUAAUCGGAAUUACUGGGCGUAAAGCGCGCGUAGGCGGUCUGAUAAGCCGGUUGUGAAAGCCCCGGGCUCAACCUGGGAACGGCAUCCGGAACUGUCAGGCUAGAGUGCAGGAGAGGAAGGUAGAAUUCCCGGUGUAGCGGUGAAAUGCGUAGAGAUCGGGAGGAAUACCAGUGGCGAAGGCGGCCUUCUGGACUGACACUGACGCUGAGGUGCGAAAGCGUGGGUAGCAAACAGGAUUAGAUACCGGGUAGUC
rnacentral:rRNA from 1 species